GAUGAACGCUGGCGGCGUGCCUAAUACAUGCAAGUCGAGCGAACUGAUUAGAAGCUUGCUUCUAAGACGUUAGCGGCGGACGGGUGAGUAACACGUGGGCAACCUGCCUGUAAGACUGGGAUAACUUCGGGAAACCGAAGCUAAUACCGGAUAGGAUCUUCUCCUUCAUGGGAGAUGAUUGAAAGAUGGUUUCGGCUAUCACUUACAGAUGGGCCCGCGGUGCAUUAGCUAGUUGGUGAGGUAACGGCUCACCAAGGCAACGAUGCAUAGCCGACCUGAGGGGGUGAUCGGCCAAACUGGGACUGAGACACGGCCCAGACUCCUACGGGAGGCAGCAGUAGGGAAUCUUCCGCAAUGGACGAAAGUCUGACGGAGCAACGCCGCGUGAGUGAUGAAGGCUUUCGGGUCGUAAAACUCUGUUGUUAGGGAAGAACAAGUACAAGAGUAACUGCUUGUACCUUGACGGUACCUAACCAGAAAGCCACGGCUAACUACGUGCCAGCCGCCGCGGUAACAC
rnacentral:rRNA from 1 species